UAAAUCGGUGAUCCAUUAUUUUUAUAUUAGAAGGUUAGAUUUUUUUUUAAAAAAAAAGCACACAUUCCGAACCUCCCGUCACGUACGUACCAACGAGCUAUGUUCAUGAGAAAUCAUAAUCAAAAUUAUUUUUACAUUAAAAAAUCACAAAGAGACCUCCACCUAUUAGGUCUAGCACCUCUCGCUCUUUGACUCUAAAUAUUCUACAAAUGCCUCUAAACUGCUACGUGGUGCUAUUAAAUUAAAUAAAAUGCUAGAAAAUCUUAAAAAAAGAACAAAACAUUUGGCUAUUGAUUUGUUAGUUUUUUAAUAAGAAAAAAACCCCAAACCUCUCUCCCUCCCUCCCCACCCCUAUGCGGUGUUAAAAUCCAUUAAACAUUUUAUAAACACCUCUAAGCUACUAUAUCACAUACUCCUUAGAAUUUUCAAAAAAAAGAUAAUUAUAUAUAAAAGUUCAUUAAAUAUCUUAAAAAUACUUUUAAUUCGCCAAGUGGUACCUUACGAACGCUCCUAGGUCGCCAAGUGGCACUCUAAUCCAACCAUCGAUUUUUAUUUAAAUCGGUGAUCUAUUAUUUUUAUCUUAGAAGGUUAGAUUUUUUUUAAAAAAAAGCACGCAUUCCGAACCUCCCGUCACGUACUUACCAACGAGCUAUGUUCAUAAGAAAUUAUAAUCAAAAUUAUUUUUACAUUAAAAAAAUCACAAAGAGACCUCCACCUAUUAGGUCUAGCAGCUCUCGCUCUGUGACUCUAAAUAUCCUACAAAUGCCUCUAAAAUGCCACGUGGUGCUAUUAAAUUAAAUAAAAUACUAGAAAAUAUUAAAAAAACAACAAAACAUUUGGCUAUCGAUUUG
rnacentral:lncRNA from 1 species